GUGGGAAGGGAGCAGAGGACCACGCCCACCCCAGUGCGUGUGCACGCGAGCGCCCCCCGGCGGCCACAUCUUAAAAGUAACUAGUGCGCCGUGGACUCUGUGGGACCAGAGCGCCUGGCCCACGACAUCACGGUGGCCGCAGCGUCAGCGCCUGGGGCUCAUCAAACGAGCGGCACAAAGGCCUGGAGAGAACACCGAGGACUGUGCAGAUUGGUGAACAAACAGGAAGAGGGGACGGACAGACACGUGGCAACGCGGGGCCUGGGUGCAGAGAUAAGGGGGUCCGAUCGAUACCCCGCGGCUGCCUGCUGCCUCCCUCCCUGGCCAGACGGCACCCGGGGGACGUGUUGGUCGAUGCAGACGCUAAACAGAGAAAUCAAUGCUGGGGCUGGCACAGCAGGGGCCGGACGAGGGGGCCGGGCGAGGCGGGUGCUCCGGCAGGAACCACCGCUGUGCCCGGCCCACGGCCAAGGCUGCCAGCCACCUGCUCGGCGGGGUGGGGACGAGGGCUCCAGACCCAGCACGCACAGCCGCACCCUGCCACGUCCUCCUCCACACUUCUCAGAGGUGGGCCGAGCUGCAAACCCAUUUUACAGACAGGGAAACCACGGCCCCAGGGGGUGAGGCGACCGUGCCGCCCAGGCCCCGAUACCAGCCCCGGCCCUUCAGCAUCACAUUCCGUCUAGAGCCCCGAAAGCUGUCUCAGCGGCUCCACUUCCCCCUGGCUUCUAGAAGCACCGGUGCUGCCCAGGAAAGCAGGACCUGAACAGAGACCUCCCGUUCCCCCAUCAGGAUGCGUCUUCUCUCUGGGCCUCGGCUCCCUCCCUACUUCAUGAGGUCCCUGAGGGACGGCGGGAGCUCGUGGACCUAAGGAGGCCAGCACAGCAGCAACGGAGCCCCGCACAUGACCACUGCCACUCCUGACGGACGAGGGAAGGACAGCCCAGAGCCAGCCCUCUGCGACUCCCUGCAGCCUGGGGUUCGCCUCCUGCUGCAUGACGUGGGCUGAGGAAUGAGCUCACCCCGGGGGCCAGCGCGCAAUAAGGAGGUGGGGCCACCACUCUGCCACCUCCAGGGACCAAAAUGCCAGCAGAAAGCCACAGAAACUGCAGUCUCACCAGGAUCUUCUUUCCCAAAACUCCCAACCGGCUUCCAGGCCGGGGCAACGGCGUCUCUGGAAGGCCCAGCUGAUGCGGGCCACCUGUUCCCACGCUGGGCCGUGUGCAUCCAACAGGGGGCACGCAGGGAGAAGGGAAGGGUCCGCCUGUGGCAGGAUUUCACCAGCAAGCCCACAUUCCCCACGCCCGCCCACCAAACCUGGUCCCUUUAAUGCAAGAAACACCCAGGAAGCAACCAGAAAAAGGAAAGACUUCCGGAACCAACUUUCCGGGUCCGCCAGCUCCUGCCGGAGCCUGCCGGGUGACCCAGCAGGAAGAGGGACAAAGUACUUGAUCGAGUCCACUGGGGCCCGUCUUGCACUUCCUCGCUCAGACCUCGUAUCGAUGCCACACGGGCACGAUCGCGGAGGAAAUCCUCCUGGUGUCGCGGCUGAGAGAUGGGCCAGGGCCGGGCAGCUCCUGGGGAAGUCCCAGAGUUUUCACCUUCUCCUUUCUUCUACCACUGAUGGCACAACAGCUAAUCUGGGCUCCCCCUUGGAGGGCAAAGGCCAUGCAACUUCUCUGGAACGACUCCAACAAUAUGAAGGCUUGGGAAGCUGACAGGUAGCUGUUUGGAAAAGGAACAACAAAACCCAGGACAGGGACAGGAUCUGAACACCACAAACCUUCUUAAAUAAAAAAAAUUUAAAAAACCUGGAAACUUCUAAAGCA